GCAUCAUAGCAUCCCUGUACAUGCCAAGAUCUUUCUUCUUUCUAUGUGGAUAUUUACUUUGACAUAGUUGAUCCCUCACAAGGAUGAUUUUUCUCUUCCUUCCUCCUCCCGCUUUCCUAACUCUAUGCCAGGAGUCCCUGAUUGUCUCCUUUGGGCCCCUGCAUCAGCCACUGUCUUGGUUCUCAUUUUGGCUUUGAAUUGUAUAGGGCUUUCCACAUAACUAUUGCAAGCACACCUAUCCUUCCCCUUCAAUCAGACUAAACUCCAGCUCAGUGAAGACCACAUUCAUACAACCACUGUGUCACAUGCUUGGGAAUUAUUACUUGGAAGAAUGCAUUUCAUCCAGGCCAUCUCAAAUGAUCACGUAAAGAAAACAAGUGUUAAUCAGGAUAGCUCUAGCCUAUAAUCAAUCUAUUAACUACAACCAAUCUUUUGACUUUAACCAUCUAACCAAUCAUCUAUCCAACUCUCCUUGGAUGUCUGAAAGGCACUGAAAACUCUCAUUUGACCCCCUGAUUAUGUCAAAUCCCUUGUCAGAUGCUCUCAUAUUUCUACCUAUUCUAAAGUUUUACUUUUUUUGUAUAAUUAUUUGCUUAAUAUCUGAUUGUCUCACUGGAUUACAGCAGAUAAUGACUGUUUGCGCUCAGUAUUGUAUCCCACAUAUAUAUCAGAACAAAGGAAGGAAGGCAGGAAGAAAGGAGGGCAAGCAGAAAGAAAAUGAGAAAUCUCCAGUUUACUGCUGAAGCUUCAAUGGCUGUUAGUCCCCUUAGCAGUAUGAUUUGAUGUUCCUUUGUAGACUGCACUAAUAUUUCCAAACAAAAUUGCUUUUAAAAUAUAACAUCAAGAGCAAUUUACAUUUCAAAAUUUUUCCAGUUAUUGAAAAUGUUUUCAGCGGUGUUACAAAUGGUCUUGAAGCUUCCCUAAAUGUUCUAGGCAUUAGUAAUGGGUGUCUGUGACUGUCUCCUAAAAACUGCUUAUCUAGUUACCUCUAAACAAAGAGAAAAAAAAAGCCUGGAGAAGUAAUUAUCAUGCUGUGUGUAAAAUAAGUGCAGCAGUGAGACGCACUGCGCACCGACGGAGCAGACCUGGGCAGGACGAUGGUGGCCAGGUUCGGACUGGGGCUGCUGCUUCUGGCGCUGCUCUUACCUACGCAGAUUUAUUCAAAUCAAACAGCUGUUGUAACACCUUCAAGUAACUCCUCCCAGCACAUGUCAGCUGCCCCCAAUCCAGCGAAUGCCACCACCAAGGCAAGUGACGGUGCUCUGCAGUCAACAGCCAGUCUCUUGGUGACCUCGGUCUCCCUUCUACAUCUCUACUGUUAAAAGACUUCGGGCCAGGAAACAUCUAUACUUCCUCAUCCUCUAAACCCAAUUCAGAUGGCAUCCAGACAUCCAGUGUGACAAGGGAAACAAAAACAACAGGUCUUCAUUGAAUGAAUCUGCAAGUUCCACACCUUAUUUUAUUGACAGAAACUGUUGAGGAUCCCAAAUUUGAUUGGUUUGAAGAGCAUGUGAAGGGUUUGACUAGAUGAUGAAUGCCAAUAUUAAAUCUGCUGGAGUUUCCUGUACAAGAUGAAGAGAGACGACCUCCAAAAUUGGUUAAGAGAUGAUUUCCUUAAAUGUGACUUAAGAAGUAUGGAUCCAUAAAACUCUACCUUGAAAGUGAGAAUAGAUUUUAUCUUACUUAGAGAUAAAGAAUGUGAUGUGGAACAGAUUCAGUUUUCAUUUGGUUCAUUAAAUUUGUAAGGCCAUAAAACAAUGAGGUAAAACAGAAAGCUUCUGUGAUUCUAUUUAUAGGUACAUUAGAAGGAACUUCCAGGUGUUACUGUAAAACCUCAAUGUGUUGUUUCAGCAGUACUAAUUUAAUGCUGAUGUACUCCAGAGAAAAUUUUAUGUUAAACUAUCACUGUUCUCUUGGGAAAUGAACUCUUUCCCUUGGGGUUUGGGUUUGACAUUGCAUUUGAAUUUUUAUAUAGUCAUUGAUAUGUUACCAGGGCAAUGAUGGAUUGGAAUCUACCCCAAGUCCAAGCAUAAUGAGUACAUUUUGCUUCUAUACUUAUCAACUAUUCUUAUUCAAAAAGAGCACUAGGUUCAUUUAGCUAAACAGAUAAAGAGUAGAAUUACAUUGAUCUCAACUAAUUUCUAAAUGCUUUUUAUUUCUGCAUAUGUUGAAUACUUUUUACAGCUUAAAAAAUGAUCUGUUUUGAAGGUAAAAUUGACAAAUCUUGAAAUUAAAAAGGCAAAUAUGUGACGGAGCUACACUAUAACCAAAUAUAUUUGGCAAGGGAAGACUGGAAGCUUGCUUCCAUUAAAUUCAGAAAAACUUUAAUACUCUUUUCUGUAAAUACUUCUUUUGAAACUGAAUCAGAGUAGCCCCAUUUGGAACACUUUCUGUUAUCAUUCAAUAUUUUUAGAUAGUUAGAACCUGGUCCUAAGCCUAAAGUGGGCUUGAUUUUGGAAAGUAAAUCUUUUCACAGCUGCCUUGGUGCACAGAAACCUGUUUAAAAAUAGACACUCCCUAAAGUCUUUUGUUCACAUGGUCACACACUGAUGCUUAGAUGGUCCAAAAUCUAAUAUGACCACAGUAGUCUUGAUAACCAAAGUCAUUUUUUUUCCAUCUUUAGAAAUCUACACUGGAACAACCAUAUCCAACAGAUCUCAAGUUACUGUGUGUGAAUGAACAUUCUCUUUUGUUUCAUACCUGAAUGCUGUACAUCUGUUUUGGAUUGUAUAUUGUGUUUGUGUAUUUCUGCUUUGAUUCAUAGUAACUUCUCAUGUUAUGGAAUUGAUUUGCAUUAAACACAAACUGUAAAUAAAAAGAAAUGGCUGUAAGAGCAAAAAAAAAAAUAAGUGCAGCAAAUAGCUCUAUAAAAUAAUAUCUUAG
ensembl:lncRNA